CGCAGGUUCUGCAUCCAGCUGCUGCUUCUGUCAAAAAAAAACAGCAAGGUUCGGGAUGUCUAUUUCGAUGAACUUGUUCCAAAGCUUGUGAACAACGGAAAUGAUGGCUCUCUCCAAGAGGAUCCACUAUGGCAAGUUUGUGGCAGAGGCAAAGUUCCAGGAGUCACCUGAAAAGUAUAAGCCUGCAAUCAGAGAGAAUGUAAGAGCACCGCAAUUAGUUCCUCCAUUCUCCAUAGAAAUCACAACAUGUAGGAGACAGUAAAUCUCACUGACAAGCUGCUGUUUCGUGACAAUCUUUUAUGCAGAACGAGGAGAUGCUGACUUAGCCCAAGGUUGAGGAAAAGGUUACUCGCUGUGUGACGACCAAGGCCAUGGUGUAUGUGCAGAAUGUGAACAGUGAUGCAGCAUUGGCCACGGAGCCGCCCAAGAUCAAGCCUCAUGCCAAUGACCAAGCAAGUGCAAGUGCAGUACCUCAUCUGGAUUGAGUCUGAGCCCCCAUCAUUUUUGCAUAUCUACCUGAAGAUACUUCACUCUAUGGACAUGCAGCAGCUUACCCUGAAAUGAUUAGGCCCUUUCUUUUUUUCUGAUAUCAUUCAAAUUUUCCUUCUAGUAGUUGCAGCUUUGUAGAGUCAGUUUCCUUGGGAACACUUGGUAGUUGCAGCUUCACUGGAGUCAAGCUUGGAUGGUUAAGAGUUGAGAUCAUGCUAUCAUUACUCUGAAUCAGAAUUCUGUUACCAGUGUUAA